rnacentral:rRNA from 1 species
CGGGACGCCACAGAGGGUGAGAGCCCAGUCUGGCUGGCCGCCGAGCCUCUGUAAAGCUCCUUCGACGAGUCGAGUAGUUUGGGAAUGCUGCUCAAAAUGGGAGGGUAUAUGUCUUCUAAAGCUAAAUACCGGCCAGAGACCGAUAGCGCACAAGUAGAGUGAUCGAAAGAUGAAAAGCACUUUGAAAAGAGGGUUAAACAGUACGUGAAAUUGUUGAAAGGGAAGCGCUCAUGACCAGACUUGGGCUUGGCGGAUCAUCCGGCGUUCUUGCCGGUGCACUUCGCCUCGCCCAGGCCAGCAUCAGUUCGCGCCGGGGGACAAAGGCUUCGGGAAUGUGGCUCCUCCGGGAGUGUUAUAGCCCGUUGCGUAAUACCCUGGGGCGGACUGAGGUUCGCGCAUCUGCAAGGAUGCUGGCGUAAUGGUCAUCAGCGACCCGUCUUGAAACACGGACCAAGGAGUCGUCUUCGUAUGCGAGUGUUCGGGUGUCAAACCCCUACGCGUAAUGAAAGUGAACGCAGGUGAGAGCUUCGGCGCAUCAUCGACCGAUCCUGAUGUUCUCGGAUGGAUUUGAGUAAGAGCAUACGGGGCCGGACCCGAAAGAAGGUGAACUAUGCCUGUAUAGGGUGAAGCCAGAGGAAACUCUGGUGGAGGCUCGCAGCGGUUCUGACGUGCAAAUCGAUCGUCAAAUAUGGGCAUGGGGGCGAA